UAUGAGUAUGCUUUUCCUCUGUUUUUUAGGAAAGUUUGAAUCAAUCAAAGUUAAAACAUAAAUCUAAACGAGUCAUCUCUCAUUCUUGAGACCACGCUCCUCUCACAAAACCCUACAGUCUCACCAUUCCUUUGCUUUUUCUCUGGUCAAACCUAUAUACCCCCUUCCCCAUCAACACCACCUCCUAGCAUUACCUUCGCCGCCUCUUUUAACCAUAUCUGAUCACAAGCACAAACGAGAAACCAUUCACGACCAGCAUCGCCAUAUCCACCUUUUGUUUCUACCAGAAGUAUGCUGAAAUCAUUCACCAUCUUCUCUUUUUCUCCCCAAGAAAUCAACUAUCAUCUCUUUAUAUCUCUACAAAAUCAACCGGUCAUCUGCUUUGCUCAACGCCGCCGCCAUCCUCUACGCACCUUAGAUGUCGAGUGACCACCUGGUAUGGUGUUUGAUUUGUGUUUUUAACUUUUAAUCCAUCUAGAUCUUUUUUGUGUUUCAGGUGUUGGUCACCGCCGUUAUUGAAGUUAUAUCAUCAAAUUUAGGAUCACAAAAGCAACACCCACUAUGGAUGAUGGGAAGUGGAAGGCUAGACUCUCUAGGUUUAAUUGUGCUUCAAGUGUUGAUCCUCUUGAAGAACAGAAAAGAAGAUAGAUAUGCAUCACUUCUCCACCACCAGGGUCUCUUUUUGUGUGUAAAGCCUCUCCAAAAUCCUUGAAGCCAACCGUCAUCACCCUCACCAACACUCUCCUCUAUCUCUGCACCCGCCACUUAAAAUCUUUUGCCUGAGGAUCAAAACAAUAAAAGGUCUGGUACUAAAAGAAACAUUAGUUUAUCGUAUCUACUGGUACCACCACUCAAUAAACCCAAUGUUGGUCACCUGCUAGAGUUUCUCAACUUCGUUAUGCCCCCUUUUGAGAUCUUUCUUAUCAAGAAAUCUGCAAAUGAAACAAAUAAAUGAAGAGUUUGGUAUCAAGUUCAAACAUGUUGUAGAUUAUGUUUAUGUACAUUUGUUUGUCACUUUUUUGCUUGAUUUUUUUUACCCUUUUUGUGUGCUCGUAAUGAAAAUCGGUAUUAUUUUGUUUUUUUUUUUCAGUCCAGUGCAGGAAUGGUUCAAAUCGACCACCGGCUUUGAUUUUGUACUUACUUUAUCAUUGUGGUUAUCAGCUUUCCCAGGUUCGAUUUAAAUUUAUAAUCAAUUUUGCAAUUGUUGUUUCCUUUAUCUUAAAACAAUACGAGAUGCAGGUGAUGUAAAGGGUAAACUAGGUUGCUAUGUAAACGGUAAACUAAUUGUUAAUCAUUUUAUAAUACAUUUUUAUUAUCUUAAACUUAUUACCUCCAACUUAUGAUGCAGGUGAUGCAAACUAAUUAUUUCUUUGAUUAAUUUUUGUGGUUGUGUUGGUAACAAAGUGUCCUGUCAAUGUGCAUCAAUUGAGUGGACAAGCCCAGCUACUCUGGCUGAUUUUUUAGGGCUUGAUCCUUCUAAGAAAAGGUGUCGUGAAGUUUCCUAAUUUGUGACAGAGUUUAAUGUUGUUGCUCUUCAUAGAGGCGGAAUUCAAGGCGAAACCGAGCAUCCUACUUUCGAGUGAUAGAGGCUAAAAAACAAUCUCUCUUUCAGUGGCUGUCAAAUAAUGUCUGAUUACAAAUUGUUUAUUUGUUAUUUCAUAGCAUCUUACUUUUAUUGAUUUUUUUAUAACAUCAUACUUUGGUUUGAAACCUUGAAUGCUUAAUUAAAGAUUAUUGCUUA